GGGGGGGGGGGGGGGGGGGGGGGCGAGGGUUCGGUGUGGCUAAGGGGUUUGCGAAAGGAAGGAGGCCAGAAAGGGUUUCGUCGAUUGGCUUCGUAAACCGAUGUGGUCUGCUGGGUUCGACGGGCCGAAGGGAAGAACGUGAUGGGGUAGGCAGCAGCGUCGUAGCGGUAGGAAAGGGGGUCGAGGGAUCAGAGGGGGCGGUCGACUCCCGUGUUUGCUCCGGGGAAACACCCAUUCGGUGGGUUUUGCUCUCGGUGGUUGAAAGAAAUUGAUAUAGGAAAAGAUGUUUGGUUUGAUUGUUUGGAAGGAAAAGGAAACACGAAGAAGAAACGGGCUACUGCCCUCUUGGUUGUUCUUGGCAGCAAUCGAAGGAGGUGGCUGCAAUGGUUGAUCAAGGGGGUGUUUUACAUCUGGGAUUCGACAGGUGAAGGGGGGAGAUGGGAACGAUUUCUAUCUAUAACUUCAUGAUAUCAAGCAGAUUUUUGGGAGACUUCUGGUACAAUAUGAUCAAAUAUAGAAUUUGGAGAGUACUCUUGCAGUAUCUUAGUGGAUUUCAUACAUGUGCCAUUGUUUUGGGAGAUAUAAUAUUUGUGAGAGAUAUGUGUAGAGAGAUAGAACGUGUGAGAGGGAGUGAUCGAAUAUAAUACUUGUGAUCUUUGUAGGAUUUUGUAAGUACACAACAAAUAUUGUAGAUUUUUAUAAGGGAUAUAUACCCACAUGUAUAAGUAAUUUAGUAUUUAAAACAUAUAUCAUUCAUUCAUGUAUUUGGUUAUUUAGCAAAAUAAAUAUCAUACAAGUACUUGGCUA